rnacentral:rRNA from 1 species
GGAUGAACGCUAGCGACAGGCUUAACACAUGCAAGUCGAGGGGCAGCACAGGUAGCAAUACCGGGUGGCGACCGGCGCACGGGUGAGUAACGCGUAUGCAACUUGCCUAUCAGAGGGGGAUAACCCGGCGAAAGUCGGACUAAUACCGCAUGAAGCAGGGAUCCCGCAUGGGAAUAUUUGCUAAAGAUUCAUCGCUGAUAGAUAGGCAUGCGUUCCAUUAGGCAGUUGGCGGGGUAACGGCCCACCAAACCGACGAUGGAUAGGGGUUCUGAGAGGAAGGUCCCCCACAUUGGUACUGAGACACGGACCAAACUCCUACGGGAGGCAGCAGUGAGGAAUAUUGGUCAAUGGCCGAGAGGCUGAACCAGCCAAGUCGCGUGAGGGAUGAAGGUUCUAUGGAUCGUAAACCUCUUUUAUAAGGGAAUAAAGUGCGGGACGUGUCCCGUUUUGUAUGUACCUUAUGAAUAAGGAUCGGCUAACUCCGUGCCAGCAGCCGCGGUAAUACGGAGGAUCCGAGCGUUAUCCGGAUUUAUUGGGUUUAAAGGGUGCGUAGGCGGCCUUUUAAGUCAGCGGUGAAAGUCUGUGGCUCAACCAUAGAAUUGCCGUUGAAACUGGGGGGCUUGAGUAUGUUUGAGGCAGGCGGAAUGCGUGGUGUAGCGGUGAAAUGCAUAGAUAUCACGCAGAACCCCGAUUGCGAAGGCAGCCUGCCAAGCCAUGACUGACGCUGAUGCACGAAAGCGUGGGGAUCAAACAGGAUUAGAUACCCUGGUAGUCCACGCAGUAAACGAUGAUCACUAGCUGUUUGCGAUACACUGUAAGCGGCACAGCGAAAGCGUUAAGUGAUCCACCUGGGGAGUACGCCGGCAACGGUGAAACUCAAAGGAAUUGACGGGGGCCCGCACAAGCGGAGGAACAUGUGGUUUAAUUCGAUGAUACGCGAGGAACCUUACCCGGGUUUGAACGCAUUCGGACCGAGGUGGAAACACCUUUUCUAGCAAUAGCCGUUUGCGAGGUGCUGCAUGGUUGUCGUCAGCUCGUGCCGUGAGGUGUCGGCUUAAGUGCCAUAACGAGCGCAACCCUUGCUACUAGUUACUAACAGGUAAAGCUGAGGACUCUGGUGGGACUGCCAGCGUAAGCUGCGAGGAAGGCGGGGAUGACGUCAAAUCAGCACGGCCCUUACAUCCGGGGCGACACACGUGUUACAAUGGCGUGGACAAAGGGAAGCCACCUGGCGACAGGGAGCGAAUCCCCAAACCACGUCUCAGUUCGGAUCGGAGUCUGCAACCCGACUCCGUGAAGCUGGAUUCGCUAGCAAUCGCGCAUCAGCCAUGGCGCGGUGAAUACGUUCCCGGGCCUUGUACACACCGCCCGUCAAGCCAUGGGAGCCGGGGGUACCUGAAGUCCGUAACCGCGAGGAUCGGCCUAGGGUAAAACUGGUG